AAGACUAUAGACCUGCGGAGUACCUGCGGAGGGAUCAUUAUCGUAUUGUAACAAUUGGGGGGGCCACCGUGUGCUGUCGCUGACCCUUUGAAAGGGGGGUCGUGCACGCCCCCAUAGUGUCAUCCUCAUACAAUCCAACUCACCUCUGUGCAUCACCGCGUGGGUUCCUUUCUGGGUCGAGUCAGACUGGCUCAGAAAAAAGGGGCUUGCGUUUUCCAUACAAAUACCCUUAUAAAUCCA
rnacentral:misc_RNA from 1 species